rnacentral:snRNA from 1 species
ACACUUACCUGGCAGGGGAGAUAUCAUAAUCAUGAAGGUGGUUUUCCCAGAGCGAGACUUAUCCACUAUAUUCCGGGUGUGCUGACCCCUGAGAUUUCCUCAAAUGUCGGAAAUUUGGGAGAAAAAAAAGAAACAAUCUAAAAACAUAAGGUC